rnacentral:misc_RNA from 1 species
CAGCUAACAACUGUCGGGACACCGCUUGUAAAUCGCGCCUUCUUUUAUGCCAUUGCACCUUUGUUUUGCUUGACGUUGAGGUCGGCAGUGAAGUGUGUGGUGCUUCGUUGCGCUGCAAAGGACUCUAAUGACUCAGAGUGACUUCCUGCCACGCACCACGUCUACUUGGCAUAUCCCGCUUUCUCUUCAUUCUCGCACAGGCGAGAUACGUUAUCACAGAAGAAAAGGGAUUCGACCAGUCGCUACAGGUGUCUCUUUCCACCUCCGGCACAGGGCUUCGGCGACGUCUGUUGCUACCGAUCAACCGCCUCGAACAAACUUUACACACAGCUGGCUCAGUUCUUCCGAGGUCCUUCUUAGACGCCUAGGCGGAUCAGAUGGGAUCGCAGAGCGGGAAAGCGUCUUUAUCGACGUCCAAUCGGCGCCGCGCGGUGUGUGAUUUGUGUGGCACGAAAGCGACCCGCAAGUCGUCACUGCAAACGGGCAGCACCCUCGUCCUCAAGCAAUGUAGCCGCUGCCAUCUUCGCUGCUGCGGCGAGUGCUACGUGUGGCGCCGCUACGGGUCUAGUUUUUCGACCUGCUAUGACGAGGAGCACGCUGUUGCCGAGUUUGCGCCAGUGUGUCGACGAUGCGUAGCAGGGCCGAAUCUGGUCGCCAACGCACCGCGGUUUGUUUGGAAUAAGAUUUUUGAAUACUGUGACGCGACGGCAAAGCAUCAUCUGCUGCAGCUAUGCCACGCCACGCAGAUGGGCGUUGUGCUGCCGUACCCUCACACGCGGUACGGGUGGAGUACUUUUUUCGAAGGUAGGCAUUUCAUCUCCAAAGGUGCCAACGGUGAGGUUUAUCACACGGUGGUGCGUCGCGACAUUACGAAGGAGCUCGCGCGGUCUCUAAUUGAUGCGCUGGAUGCAAAGGUGCUAGCCGAUCUUUCUGGUCGCGCGGUGGCGGUGAAGGCGAUCCGAAAGUCGACUGUUUUCUCCUUGAGGAGGUGGAAGCACAUUCAACGGGAGGUGGACACGCUACGUAGAUGCUGCCAUCGUCACGUCGUUCAGCUGCACUUCGUCGCGCAGGGCCCCAGUGAGGUCUACAUUGUGCUUCAGUACGUGGCGGGCGGAGACUUGUUUGACUGGCUAGUUCGCCAACAGAUUCCAAUGGAGUAUGAUGUGGUCGUCAUCGCGCGCCAGCUUCUCGAAACGCUUCACUUUAUGCACGAGGUGUGCGGCGUUGUGCAUCGCGAUAUCAAGCCGGAGAACAUUCUGCUGCAACCCGUUGCAAAUCCAGAUGUACAGAGGCAGGGGGAUGGAUCUCUCGGUGCAGACGACGGGCGCUCCACGGAGCACACCAACUCGUCUGAUGAUUUGUACAUACGCCUUGCUGACUUCGGGUACGCGAAGCUGCUUCCGCAAAACGAGGCUGGAGAUGCGACCUUGUCGCCAGCACAGAUCUCGCGCCCCCCUUUGCCGCCUGUACCCGCGGAUGCCAUUGGUAUUGUAGGACCUAGGGCGGAAAACGUGCAGCGCACCGAGCCUCGUGCGAAGGCUUGCAAGCCGCUCCUCAUUUCGUCCACUCCGUGUGGAACGCUCGGCUUCGCUGCCCCUGAGAUUCUCUCCGCCUACAACGCGCGGAAAGACGCUUUGCAGCGCCCUCGUUCAAACCGGCAAUCCGCCGAGCAGCUCGGAGACGCAGCCAAGCCGCGAACGCCGGUAGAUUUAGUGAAGCGUAUGGACAUCUUUGCGGCUGGUGUGACUAUAUGCAUCCUCCUGACGGGGUGCGAGCCGUUUCCGUGUCGGUCGUCGAAGGAGCAUAUUGAGGCUGUGCACGAAGGUCUGGACUUUAGCGGACCUCAGUGGAACUACGUUUCGCAGCCGGCCAAGAACUUACUACGUCGCAUGCUUGCGCCAAGGGCAGCGGAUCGUCCCUCAGCCUUUGAGUGUCUCAACUCAUCAUGGAUGAAGCACCAGGGCCCAUACACUGACGCCACCUCAGAGGUGGAGGACGACGACGAGAAUGCGCGUGGGAAGGGCCUCAAUCGCAGCGCGUCUGUGUGGCAGCUACUCUCCACCUCGUUCCAGAACUCUGUCCACUCGCUGCGCAAGAAUGAGGGGUGGCUAUUUGUGCAGGAUGCACAGGGACUCGUGACGACGAUUCCACGUCAGCUUGUAAACGGUAGAGAAGAUAGUGAGUCCUUUUCCGAGGCGCUUCAUUCCCCCAACAGUUGCGAGCAGGCCUCCACUGUCUACUAGAGACUCUGAACGUUUCUCAUCUUGGUCAAGUGCAUUUCCAUGCCAUUGGCUUCUGUGUCGAAGUCUUUCUUCAUCCUGCGAAUCGUAGUGCACAUUUCCUCAUUCAUGCACGAAGGACCCCUUACAGACCGCACGAAUGCAAGGCCUUCCUCCUGCCUACAAGCUCUUCCCCUCCCCCCCAGAUACUGCUGUUAGCUUUUCUUUGCUUUCUUUCCCUCUCAAUACUUUCAAUUCUCGUCUGCUUUAUUUUCCCUUUUAUCGCCCAGCACCGAUGAAUUCGAAAGCGCACCGCCCUCUUGUGUAGUUUCUCCAUUCCUAUUUUGUAUGUUUCUUGGUUUCAUCGCCUUGCACGACGCCCAACUUUCGCUUUUCUCUUACCCCGCCUUUUCUUUUCGAUGAUACUAUGGUAUGUCCCCAUUCGCUUCUCCGAUCACGAUUUCCCCUGCUGUCUUGUACCAUUUAUGUUUUCCUCACUGCUGGUCUUACAUGUUUUUUUUUUUUUUCUUUGCGUCAGGGCCGCGACGGAUUGGUCUUUCACGGCUCUUUUCCCGCUUUCCGCUCUGUUCUGCAUUGUUCCGUGAUGAGUGAUCCAGUGAUUCUCUUCCCUAUCUUCGGAUCCUGCUUCUCUUGUUCGACUUAGACGGUGUUUUUGUAGUUUCUCCCUUCUCCCUUACUUCUUCGACGUUCUCGCAUUCUAAAAGCAAAGCAGAGGAGGAGAGAGCGCUUUAUAUGCGCUUCUGCUACGCCCAUAAUCUCGCUUUGUCUUUUCUUUGAUUGCCGCUGCGACGACCGGCGGGUUCCUGCUGAUCUCCCUAACACGUGCCUAUACCACGGCUCCAUCCCUUACAUUCUCUUGUUGCUUCCUCCUACUUGACCCUGAUGACGGGGAGGGGGCAUCUCAGUGCGUGGUAUCUCAGGGCCCAGUGCAUUCACAUUAUUCCACAGGGGGGGGGUGGCCGAGCAGCCCUCUCCCGCUAUCCCCUUUCCUGCCAGCUGCAGAGCCGCUUCUGCUGGUGACAGGGCCAUCCCCCCUACGUCGUAGGGGGGUCAGAGCGAUGCAUCGCUGUUGAUGUCGGCGGUCGAGGCCCUGGAUGGCGUUGCAUCGGAGCCACCUGCGACAGCGAACGCGUCUGUGCCAUCCGCCUAAUGGGCGAAGUGUCGGCGUGACUCGAGCGCAUAUCAGACGGUCCUCGCUGCCUACUGGUGUGGGGAGCGUGAGCCACCCCGAGGGUCGCACGAGGUGGUGACCGGCACCAUGGGCAUGGCUGUGAGGCGACCUGCGCGGAGGCUGGGGGGAGGGGAGGAGCUUGAGGCAGGGGCCGAGCUCAGAUGACUGGGUCGGCGCAUUGCUGUAGCGCGCGCCUGCGGCUUCUUCGCACCACGUGGGUGGGGCCUGCGACUGGCCGGUGUAGAGGGGGGCCGCACUCGUGUUGUACGGCAGGGAGUGAACACGUUGAUGCAAAAUGAAGUCGACCUUACUUGUAUAGGCGGUGUUGAAGGAAAAUGUUCGAAAAUUUCUUCUCUCUUUUCCCCCUUUCCGUGCACGCGCCACUUUUAAGUGUUUACUUGCUUUUUGAACCUGCAGUACAGAGUGGGACCAACAGGAGGGCCCAAUGGAUGUCGAGCGAGGAAUGACUCGUGCCUGU